rnacentral:rRNA from 1 species
GACGAACCGUGCAAACGUUGUUCGGAAUCACUGGGCUUAAAGAGCGCGUAGGCGGCUUAUCAAGUCGGGGGUGAAAUACUUCAGCUUAACUGGAGAAGUGCCUUCGAUACUGGUGGGCUUGAGGGAGGUAGGGGUCUGUGGAACUUCUGGUGGAGCGGUGAAAUGCGUUGAUAUCAGAAGGAACGCCGGUGGCGAAAGCGACGGACUGGACCUCUUCUGACGCUGAGGCGCGAAAGCUAGGGGAGCAAACGGG